UUUUGACAUUCUUGAUUAAAGAGUCUGUGUUUCGGCCACAGAAUUAGAAGCGAGUUGCUUCUGUCAAAUG
rnacentral:tRNA from 1 species